UACGUAGGGUGCGAGCGUUGUCCGGAUUUAUUGGGCGUAAAGGGCUCGUAGGUGGUUGAUCGCGUCGGAGGUGUAAUCUUGGGGCUUAACCCUGAGCGUGCUUUCGAUACGGGUUGACUUGAGGAAGGUAGGGGAGAAUGGAAUUCCUGGUGGAGCGGUGGAAUGCGCAGAUAUCAGGAGGAACACCAGUGGCGAAGGCGGUUCUCUGGGCCUUUCCUGACGCUGAGGAGCGAAAGCGUGGGGAGCGAACAGGA
rnacentral:misc_RNA from 1 species